UAGGGAAUCUUCCACAAUGGACGAAAGCCUGAUGGAGCAACGCCGCGUGAGUGAAGAAGGGUUUCGGCUCGUAAAACUCUGUUGUUAAAGAAGAACAUAUCUGAGAGUAACUGUUCAGGUAUUGACGGUAUUUAACCAGAAAGCCACGGCUAACUACGUGCUAG
rnacentral:rRNA from 1 species